rnacentral:lncRNA from 1 species
UGAGACCACAUGAUGCGAAUGGGUUUUCCUUUGAUCACAUCAAAGUUCAUGGUGUCUAGAGCACGCUCAGCGUCCGCCGGCUGCUGGAAGUUGACGUAGGCGUAGCCGAGGGAUCUGCGGGUGAUCAUAUCCCGGCACACGCGGAUGGAGAGGAUGGGCCCCGCGGGGCUGAACUUCUCGUACAGCAUGGCCUCGGUGACGUCGGGGUGCAGAUCGCCCACGUACAGCGAGGCCAUGGGGUAGCUGCUGCCCGCCGCGUCCAUCGCCCGCACCGCUCUCGGCGUGGCUGUGGCGUGCGCUGCGGCCC